rnacentral:rRNA from 1 species
UACGAAGGGGGCUAGCGUUGCUCGGAAUCACUGGGCGUAAAGGGUGCGUAGGCGGGUCGUUAAGUCGGGGGUGAAAUCCUGGAGCUCAACUCCAGAACUGCCUUCGAUACUGGCGAUCUUGAGUCCGGGAGAGGUGAGUGGAACUCCGAGUGUAGAGGUGAAAUUCGUAGAUAUUCGGAAGAACACCAGUGGCGAAGGCGGCUCACUGGCCCGGUACUGACGCUCAGGUGCGAAAGCGUGGGGAGCAAACAGG